rnacentral:rRNA from 1 species
UACAGAGGUCCCAAGCGUUGUUCGGAUUCACUGGGCGUAAAGGGUGCGUAGGUGGUGAGGCAAGUCGGAUGUGAAAGCUCCGAGCUCAACUCGGAAAUGGCAUUGGAAACUACCUUGCUCGAGGGUUUGAGGGGGGACUGGAAUACUUGGUGUAGCAGUGAAAUGCGUAGAUAUCAAGUAGAACACCAGUGGCGAAGGCGAGUCCCUGGAAAACUCCUGACACUGAGGCACGAAAGCUAGGGGAGCAAACAGG